ACUUGGGGAAUGAUAGCAUGCUGCUGAUUUUUCCUUGAAUCUUAAAUUAUUCGUUAAUUCACUCCCCAAUAAUUCCCUCCCAGCUAUAUAUAUGUAGUAUAUAGUUAUUUUGGUAUUACAAGCGCGGAUGAACGGAAGGCGACAAUCUCCAGUCUACGGUUUGAUAUUUGCUUUCUAGUUGAGAUCAUUUGUUCCCGUGAAGGUUGAAUCGGGGGCAGGAUAAUCGUGCAGUAUGGAAGUUUGAUCACAAGCAGCAGGCAUGUGGCUCUGGAUAGGAAAUGUGUGAGGCAAGUAAGAGAAAACUAUUUGGUUUCCAGUAUAAUAUUUCCUGCAGCAAGCAUUUAGAAAUUAGUGGGGUUGGAUACGGCGUGGCAAAAUCUGAGAAAUUACUGAUAGAGGAGCUAUCCCAGUAGGUCUUGACAGGAAGAGUUGAUUUGUGUCACCAAAUUGUGGAAGAAUUUCAAGUCCUACCACAAGGGAAGCAUAAAAAAGGAUGUCAGCUCGAGCUCCAAGGACCGGGGGUUCAGAUAUUUAUAUUACUUGAUAUACUUUUAUUGUACAAGAAACUUACACGGCUCUUCAAUGGUGCUAGCAGGUAGGCAGAAAAAUGUUGCUGGUCGCUGUUUCAUGGUUGCACCGGUUUUUAUUAUUCCGUCAUCAUUGCGCGGAUUUCCUCGUAUGUAUGAAACCAGACCACUCUUUGCGUAUAGAGAAGAACCCUCUGUGUGAAACCAUACAUACCACUCUUUUCUCAUCAGUGCCAGAACUUGAGCCAAAACUUUGAUGGUGUUUUUGAGUGAAAACAAUUAUUAUUAUCACUUAAAAAUGAGCCAGGCAGCAUAGAGUGGAACGAGCUAGCUCCUCGUGAUCGGCCGCGCUUUUCGCGAUCAUGCUAAAAUGAGCCUUUCAGUUCAGGGUCCUUCUUCUUGCGUCUGCCGCCCAUAGUAAAAAUAAUGCUCUCUUCCACCACCGCGGCGGCAGUCAAACGAGGCGCGGUUUACCAACCACUCCAAGCGUAUGAUAUAAGAUCUUGUCAAGUAAACCCGAUAUAUUCUUCGUUUCUCUCUUUCUUGUAGGGGAGAGGAAGAAGAGAACGCUGCAACUAGGGAGUUCGUCGCACCGGAUAAGGUUACGGGAGCAAAUAGAAAAGAGCAAGGGCGAGAAAUAGGGGCCAAAAAAAAGGACAUGAACUUCCGGAGCCUGGAGGAGUUCUGGGCGUAUUAUGUGAGCCAGCACUCCAAGGCGUCGACCCGGCGGUGGCAUUUCUUCGGCACCCUCUCCGCACUCCUCUGCCUCCUCUCCUCCCUCCUCCUCCUCAACCCGUGGCUCCUCCUCCUCGCCCCUUUCUUUGGUUACGGCCUCGCCUGGUACAGCCACGUCUUCGUGGAGCGCAACGCCCCCGUCACUUUCUCCCACCCUUUCUGGUCCCUCCUCUGCGACCUCAAGAUGUUCGGCCUCAUGCUCACCGGCCGGAUGGACCGCGAGAUCAAGCGCCUAGGCAAGAGGCCCGUCCUUCAGGCCUUCUGAUCGCCACCACUUUUUCUUCUCUUCUUGCCUGCAGGAAGGAGACCUAUAGAUUUGACCUGCCUGGACAAAAAACAAAGAACUCAACCAUGAUGGUGGACGAUAUUAGUUGGGUUUGGAGCAGCGUCUCUUUUCCUUGUUCAGCUGAGAGCUUACUUUGGUCUUCUGUAGUUGCUGUCAGUUCAUUUUGUAUGGUACAUACUUCAGUACCAAGGAAACAAGUAUACUAUUUGCCAUUCUAUUGCAACAUUGAAAAUUAGCAAUUCCACUGCUCAAGAUGAAGGUUGGUGAUCUCUCCAUAAGAAUGUUGAGGCCAUGAAGUACCGAGCAGAGGAUGCCUUCAGAAAUGGCGAGAUGAAUGCAGAACAUCCUUUUCUUUUCAAUGGAAAUUUGAGGAGAAAGGCGCACACUGGUGCUAUUCCCGGUGUACUACCUCCGGAUUCAUGUACGGUGCAUGGGGAUGGCUAAGAGUGGGUUUCAUUUCCACCAAGGUUGGAUUUGUUGGGAAAUUACUCCUGCCGGGACUAUUCCUUGAUGGCUACCAGAGUUUCUUUAUUUUUCGACGGAAAAAAAAAACACUUUUCCCCCAACGAUGCCUACUGAUUUCACAGAACAUGACCGAUGCAAUCUAUCGUACCGUCUCGAUGUUGUUUCGAUUCUAAUUGGUAAUAAAGCACUAACUUUGGCUUUCUUAAA